AGAGCAAGUAAAAUAUUACGCUACAGUGCUACUGGCCCAUAAUCAGGCAACUGCAGAGUCUUAGGGGGUUAUCUAAUGUAGUCUUGGGGUGGCUGGAUAGACUUCCCAAAGAAGGUGAUGCCGAAGCUGAGGUCGGAAAUUACGAAGAUCAGCUAUCAAACUUGGAAAUCAUGUCUUAGAGAUCAAGGAGCCAAGAGAUGAGACAAGCCUGGGUUCCUAGGUGAUAGGGUGUGGCUGUGUCCCCACCCAAAUCUCGUCUUGAAUUGUAGCUCCCAUAAUCCCCACAUGUUGUGGAGGGACCCUGUGGAAGGAAGGCCUGAGGAGAGAAGACACAUAGUCAUGCUGACUAAACCAGAUCACCUAGAAUUACCAAAUGGAAAGAUUGUGCCUGCAGCCUGGCCUGUUGCCCACAGCGGUCUACCUGCCACACUGGGAAAGAUCGAGCAGAGACAGAGAAGAAAAGGAGGCUCCAUUUUUCAGGCUGCUCUCCCGCAGGCUCAUGUUUUGUGUUCAUGCCAGGCAGAGAACACAAAAUGUUCCAAUAAAUAAGUAUCAAAGGUUAGUGGUGAAAAUGAAGGAGGAGGAGGCAUUGCGUGAAAAACUAAACAUGCAAAAUAUUACACACAAAGAGAACCAAAAUGCAGGUUCACUGGAAAUGAUAGACAAUAUGUUAAAACAAGAGGAGAGAAGAGAGCUGAAAUAAUCAAAUGGAAACACACAAUUUAGGGCUAAGAUCUUGUUGUGUUCAGCCACAAAUGAUGGCCAGCAGUGAGGAAUCUGUGUGUUCUCCACACUCUUCGCUCCUGGGAAGUCAACUCACAUGGACCAUGAUAUCAAUAUCUGCUCCUUCCCCUAAUAUCUGUUUGACCUUGGGUCAGUUACUUAAACUUCCUAAGCCUUAGUUUCUUUGUCUGGAAAAUAGGGAUAGUUAUACCUACCACACAACCACUUUGUAAUGAAUAUGUUGGAAAUUAUAUGCAAAUUGGCUUCCGUUGGUGUUUGGAACAUAGUAGGUUUUUAACUGGAAUAUAAUAGCUACCAUUAUCAGUAUCAUCAUAUUAAUUUAUAUUUCCAUCUUCAGCCCUUAACCCAGGAUCUUCAGUAAAUGUUGAAUUCUCAAAUUUGUUAAAUUCACUUGUCUAUACUAAUAUUUUACUCUAGGUUUCUUAGAAUAUUCUAGAUAAUAUUAUUAUGUAGAAUAUGUUAUGUAAGCUUCAUCUUAUCUGUAAAUAUAGUUUUACUUUUUCCUUUCUAAUUUUUAUGUCGAUUACUUCUUUUUCUUGGCUUAUUGAAUUGGCUAGGAUUCCCGUACAGUGUUGAAUACGUGCAGCAAGACUGCACAUCUUGCCUUGUUCCUGGUCCCACAGAGAGAAUAUCCAGUACUUCACAAUAAGUAUGUGUUAAUUGUAGAUUUUAUUAGAUUGAGGAAGUUCCCUUUCCUUUCAAGUCAGUCUUUUUAUUUUAAACAUGUAUUGAAGUUUUGUCAAAUGUCUUCAUCUAUUGGAAUAAUUAUACAUAUCUCUUUUUUAUUCUGUUAAUAUUACAUUUCAAUCUUCUGUCUACCUAAAAUCCCUAGAAUAAUCUCCAUUUGGCUAUGAUGUGUUGUGCUUUUAUAUAUUACUGAAUUCUAUAUGCCAAUAUUAUUAAAAUUUUCUGUCUUUAUGAGAAAUAUUUGAAUGUAUAUUUUUUCAUGUAUUUGUUUUGAUUUUAUUUUCAAUGCCAUUUUGUAAAAGAGCAUUAAAGUGUUAGUAUGAAAGUACUUACUCACCCUCUAUUUCA
ensembl:lncRNA CCDC26 CCDC26 long non-coding RNA